CUGGAAUCGCUAGUAAUCGCGGAUCAGAAUGCCGCGGUGAAUACGUUCCCAGGUCUUGUACACACCGCCCGUCACACCAUGGGAGUCGGAAAUGCCCGAAGCCGGUGACCUAACCUUUCAGGAAGGAGCCGUCGAAGGCAGGUCUGAUAACUGGGGUGAAGUCGUAACAAGGUAGC
rnacentral:rRNA from 1 species